rnacentral:rRNA from 1 species
AUUGAACGCUGGCGGCAGGCCUAACACAUGCAAGUCGAACGAGUGGCGGACGGGUGAGUAAUGUCUGGGAAACUGCCUGAUGGAGGGGGAUAACUACUGGAAACGGUAGCUAAUACCGCAUACCAUCGGAUGUGCCCAGAUGGGAUUAGCUAGUAGGUGGGGUAAAGGCUCACCUAGGCGACGAUCCCUAGCUGGCCUGAGAGGAUGACCAGCCACACUGGAACUGAGACACGGGCCAGGCUCCUACGGGAGGCAGCAGUGGGUAAUAUUGCACAAUGGGCGCAAGCCUGAUGCAGCCAUGCCGCGUGUAUGAAGAAGGCCUUCGGGUUGUAAAGCACUUUAAGUUGGGAGGCGUUACCCGCAGAAGAAGCACCGGCUAACUCCGUGCCAGCCGCCGCGGUAAUAC